AUUGAACGCUGGCGGCAGGCCUAACACAUGCAAGUCGAGCGGAUGAAGGGAGCUUGCUCCUGGAUUCAGCGGCGGACGGGUGAGUAAUGCCUAGGAAUCUGCCUGGUAGUGGGGGAUAACGUCCGGAAACGGGCGCUAAUACCGCAUACGUCCUGAGGGAGAAAGUGGGGGAUCUUCGGACCUCACGCUAUCAGAUGAGCCUAGGUCGGAUUAGCUAGGUGGUGGGGUAAAGGCCUACCAAGGCGACGAUCCGUAACUGGUCUGAGAGGAUGAUCAGUCACACUGGAUCUUAGACACGGUCCAGACUCCUACGGGAGGCAGCAGUGGGGAAUAUUGGACAAUGGGCGAAAGCCUGAUCCAGCCAUGCCGCGUGUGUGAAGAAGGUCUUCGGAUUGUAAAGCACUUUAAGUUGGGAGGAAGGGCAGUAAGUUAAUACCUUGCUGUUUUGACGUUACCAACAGAAUAAGCACCGGCUAACUUCGUG
rnacentral:rRNA from 1 species